GGGCUCGUAGUUCACCGGUUAGAACGCGACUCUUAUAAAGUCGAUGCAGAUGGUUCGAUUCCAUCCGAGCCCA
rnacentral:tRNA from 1 species